rnacentral:rRNA from 1 species
AUUGAACGCUGGCGGCAGGCUUAACACAUGCAAGUCGAGCGGAGCGAGGGUGCUUGCACCUUAGCUUAGCGGCGGACGGGUGAGUAAUGCUUAGGAAUCUGCCUAUUAGUGGGGGACGACAUUCCGAAAGGGAUGCUAAUACCGCAUACGCCCUACGGGGGAAAGCAGGGGAUCUUCGGACCUUGCGCUAAUAGAUGAGCCUAAGUCGGAUUAGCUAGUUGGUGGGGUAAAGGCCUACCAAGGCGACGAUCUGUAGCGGGUCUGAGAGGACGAUCCGCCACACUGGGACUGAGACACGGCCCAGACUCCUACGGGAGGCAGCAGUGGGGAAUAUUGGACAAUGGGCGGAAGCCUGAUCCAGCCAUGCCGCGUGUGUGAAGAAGGCCUUUUGGUUGUAAAGCACUUUAAGCGAGGAGGAGGCUACUAGUAUUAAUACUACUGGAUAGUGGACGUUACUCGCAGAAUAAGCACCGACUAACUCUGUGCCAGCAGCAGCCGCCGUAA